AGACCUGGUGGAGGCCAAGGCCAAAUCUGCACCCCAGAAAGCAAGUCUCUCCCACCCUCCUGAUGAAGGCCAAUCCACCCCCUGCACAACAGCUCUGAGAAGGUUGUGGAUGUAGGCUGACCAACUGUCUUGGUUUGUCCCAGCACUCAGGGGUUUCCCAGGAGGCAGGGCUUUCUGUGCUAAAACGGGAUGGUUCUGGGCAAACCAGGACAGCUGAUGACCACAGUGGGAGAUGGUAGGCUGGGACAAGGGACCAGCGGGGCCAGAGAGAAAGGUCAGGCAGCCGGGCCCUUCCCUGUACACCAGCAGCUGCCUCCCAGCCUCAAAUUCUCCCAGCCUCCAGCACCAGGGCUUCAUCCCCCAGGCGCUAAGGAACUGCCGUCCCCUGGGGAUGGUCCCAUGGGGCAGCCUGGCUGUAUGUUCUCCAAGCCUUGGUAGUUACAUGGGAAAGCUGUGAGUUGGACUCAGGGGUGGAUUCAGAUUUUUUGGGGGAGUCAAGCUUACUCAUGCAAUAUAGGGGCUGGGGGGGGGGUGCUCUUCUUGAGAAAAGGAAUACACGGCUGCUAACACAAAGUGACCACGGAAGGACUAUGAAGCUUAAACUUCAUCAGCUUCAAGAAAGAACACCUCUUUCUGUCCCAUGUGGCCAUAAUGAGGUUCUCAGUCCAGGUAUCUGGUACCACGUUCUCCACAAGGCACUGCAGUUUCUCUCCUGGACCAUCACAGUGGCUCCAGAUCGGCUUCCCCAGUGCCUGGAACAGAACAGGCUCACUGAACGAUUGCUGAGUGAGUACAUGGUAUAUACCAGUGGCCCUUCUACCCUCCUCCAUCCCAAGGCUACUGGUUCUGAAGUCAACACUUUGGACCUGGACCCAACUGCAACAUGUUAGAGGCAUGAAGUGGUGGCCUAUGGCAGGUGGGUGGACACUGAGGAAUGGGCUAAUUGGGGCAGAGCUGCAGAGGCUGAGGAAGAAGAAACAGUGGGCAGAGACAAGGCUGUGAAGAGCUUGGGAUGUCUAGUAAGGAUUGUGCACUUUACUUUGUCGGCCUUGGGGAAGCCCUUGAGGGUUUCAGGAAGUUAGAGGACAUGAUCUGAUUUCUUAGAAAGGUUGCUUUGGAAUGAAGGAAUGUGGUGUGGAGACGGAAAACCAGAUAGGAACCGCCUGCCAAUCGUUUACAUAAGAAUUGAGAGUGGCCAGCCAGGGUGGUGAUGGUAGUGGAGAAGGGGACCAGGUUCAAGAGGCAUUAAAGAGGUAAUAUGAGGGACACCUGGGUGGCUCAGUGGUUGGGCGGCUGCCUUUGGCUCAGGUCAUGAUCCUGGGGUCCUGGGAUAGAGGCCUGUGUCUGGCUCCCUGCAGGGAGCCUGCUUC